GGUUAAGCGACUAAGCGUACACGGUGGAUGCCCUGGCAGUCAGAGGCGAUGAAGGACGUGCUAAUCUGCGAUAAGCGUCGGUGAGGUGAUAUGAACCGUUAUAACCGGCGAUUUCCGAAUGGGGAAACCCAGUGUGUUUCGACACACUAUCAUUAACUGAAUCCAUAGGUUAAUGAGGCGAACCGGGGGAACUGAAACAUCUAAGUACCCCGAGGAAAAGAAAUCAACCGAGAUUCCCCCAGUAGCGGCGAGCGAACGGGGAGGAGCCCAGAGCCUGAAUCAGUGUGUGUGUUAGUGGAAGCGUCUGGAAAGGCGCGCGAUACAGGGUGACAGCCCCGUACACAAAAAUGCACAUAUUGUGAGCUCGAUGAGUAGGGCGGGACACGUGGUAUCCUGUCUGAAUAUGGGGGGACCAUCCUCCAAGGCUAAAUACUCCUGACUGACCGAUAGUGAACCAGUACCGUGAGGGAAAGGCGAAAAGAACCCCGGCGAGGGGAGUGAAAAAGAACCUGAAACCGUGUACGUACAAGCAGUGGGAGCCUCUUAAUGGGGUGACUGCGUACCUUUUGUAUAAUGGGUCAGCGACUUAUAUUCUGUAGCAAGGUUAACCGAAUAGGGGAGCCGAAGGGAAACCGAGUCUUAACUGGGCGUUAAGUUGCAGGGUAUAGACCCGAAACCCGGUGAUCUAGCCAUGGGCAGGUUGAAGGUUGGGUAACACUAACUGGAGGACCGAACCGACUAAUGUUGAAAAAUUAGCGGAUGACUUGUGGCUGGGGGUGAAAGGCCAAUCAAACCGGGAGAUAGCUGGUUCUCCCCGAAAGCUAUUUAGGUAGCGCCUCGUGAAUUCAUCUCCGGGGGUAGAGCACUGUUUCGGCAAGGGGGUCAUCCCGACUUACCAACCCGAUGCAAACUGCGAAUACCGGAGAAUGUUAUCACGGGAGACACACGGCGGGUGCUAACGUCCGUCGUGAAGAGGGAAACAACCCAGACCGCCAGCUAAGGUCCCAAAGUCAUGGUUAAGUGGGAAACGAUGUGGGAAGGCCCAGACAGCCAGGAUGUUGGCUUAGAAGCAGCCAUCAUUUAAAGAAAGCGUAAUAGCUCACUGGUCGAGUCGGCCUGCGCGGAAGAUGUAACGGGGCUAAACCAUGCACCGAAGCUGCGGCAGCGACACUAUGUGUUGUUGGGUAGGGGAGCGUUCUGUAAGCCUGUGAAGGUGGCCUGUGAGGGUUGCUGGAGGUAUCAGAAGUGCGAAUGCUGACAUAAGUAACGAUAAAGCGGGUGAAAAGCCCGCUCGCCGGAAGACCAAGGGUUCCUGUCCAACGUUAAUCGGGGCAGGGUGAGUCGACCCCUAAGGCGAGGCCGAAAGGCGUAGUCGAUGGGAAACAGGUUAAUAUUCCUGUACUUGGUGUUACUGCGAAGGGGGGACGGAGAAGGCUAUGUUGGCCGGGCGACGGUUGUCCCGGUUUAAGCGUGUAGGCUGGUUUUCCAGGCAAAUCCGGAAAAUCAAGGCUGAGGCGUGAUGACGAGGCACUACGGUGCUGAAGCGACAAAUGCCCUGCUUCCAGGAAAAGCCUCUAAGCAUCAGGUAACAUCAAAUCGUACCCCAAACCGACACAGGUGGUCAGGUAGAGAAUACCAAGGCGCUUGAGAGAACUCGGGUGAAGGAACUAGGCAAAAUGGUGCCGUAACUUCGGGAGAAGGCACGCUGAUAUGUAGGUGAAGCGACUUGCUCGUGGAGCUGAAAUCAGUCGAAGAUACCAGCUGGCUGCAACUGUUUAUUAAAAACACAGCACUGUGCAAACACGAAAGUGGACGUAUACGGUGUGACGCCUGCCCGGUGCCGGAAGGUUAAUUGAUGGGGUUAGCGGUAACGCGAAGCUCUUGAUCGAAGCCCCGGUAAACGGCGGCCGUAACUAUAACGGUCCUAAGGUAGCGAAAUUCCUUGUCGGGUAAGUUCCGACCUGCACGAAUGGCGUAAUGAUGGCCAGGCUGUCUCCACCCGAGACUCAGUGAAAUUGAACUCGCUGUGAAGAUGCAGUGUACCCGCGGCAAGACGGAAAGACCCCGUGAACCUUUACUAUAGCUUGACACUGAACAUUGAGCCUUGAUGUGUAGGAUAGGUGGGAGGCUUUGAAGUGUGGACGCCAGUCUGCAUGGAGCCGACCUUGAAAUACCACCCUUUAAUGUUUGAUGUUCUAACGUGGGCCCCUUACCGGGGUUGCGGACAGUGUCUGGUGGGUAGUUUGA
rnacentral:rRNA from 1 species